GACGAACGCUGGCGGCGUGCUUAACACAUGCAAGUCGAGCGGAAAGGCCCUUCGGGGUACUCGAGCGGCGAACGGGUGAGUAACACGUGGGUAACCUGCCCUAGGCUUUGGGAUAACCCCGGGAAACCGGGGCUAAUACCGGAUAUGACCUGGAGCCGCAUGGUGUUGGGUGGAAAGUUUUUUCGGCCUGGGAUGGGCUCGCGGCCUAUCAGCUUGUUGGUGGGGUGAUGGCCUACCAAGGCGAUGACGGGUAGCCGGCCUGAGAGGGCGACCGGCCACGCUGGGACUGGGACGCGGCCCAGACUCCUACGGGAGGCAGCAGUGGGGAAUAUUGCACAAUGGGCGGAAGCCUGAUGCAGCGACGCCGUGUGGGGGAUGAAGGCCUUCGGGUUGUAAACCUCUUUCAGCAGGGACGAAGCGUGAGUGACGGUACCUGCAGAAGAAGCGCCGGCCAACUACGUG
rnacentral:rRNA from 1 species